rnacentral:rRNA from 1 species
UGGGGAAUAUUGGACAAUGGGCGCAAGCGUGAUCCAGCCAUGCCGCGUGAGUGAAGAAGGCCUUCGGGUUGUAAAGCUCUUUCAGAUGCGAAGAUGAUGACGGUACCAUCAGAAGAAGCCCCGGCUAAUUUCGUGCCAGCAGCCGCGGUAAUACGAAAGGGGCAAGCGUUGUUCGGAUUUACUGGGCGUAAAGGGCACGCAGGCGGUCUUGCCAGUCAGGGGUGAAAGCCCGGGGCUCAACCCCGGAACUGCCUCUGAUACUGCAAGACUAGAGACUAGGAGAGGGUGGUGGAAUUCCCAGUGUAGAGGUGAAAUUCGUAGAUAUUGGGAGGAACACCAGAGGCGAAGGCGGCCACCUGGACUAGAUCUGACGCUCAGGUGCGAAAGCGUGGGGAGCAAACAGGAUUAGAUACCCUGGUAGUCCACGCCGUAAACGAUGAUUACUAGUUGUCGGGGGAACGGUUUCGGUGACGCAGCUAACGCAGAAAUCA